rnacentral:misc_RNA from 1 species
GAAAUGCGAUAAGUAAUGUGAAUUGCAGAAUUCAGUGAAUCAUCGAAUCUUUGAACGCACAUUGCGCUCGCCAGUAUUCUGGCGGGCAUGCCUGUUCGAGCGUCAUUUCAACCAUCAAGCCCCGCGCUUGUGUUGGGGACCUGCGGCUGCCGCAGGCCCUGAAAACCAGUGGCGGGCUCGCUGUCACACCGGGCGUAGUAGAUUUUAUCUCGCUCAGGGCGUGCUGCGGGUUCCGGCCGUUAAAAAGCCUUUUUUACCCAAGGUUGACCUCGGAUCAGGUAGGAAGACCCGCUGAACUUAAGC